rnacentral:rRNA from 1 species
UACAUGGGGUGCAAACGUUGCUCGGAAUUAUUGGGCGUAAAGCGCACGUAGGCGGUUCGUUAUGUCGGAUGUGAAAGCCCUUGGCUUAACCGAGGAAGUGCAUCCGAAACUGGCGAGCUAGAGUACGAAAGAGGAUCGCGGAAUUCCCGGUGUAGAGGUGAAAUUCGUAGAUAUCGGGAGGAACACCGGUGGCGAAGGCGGCGAUCUGGGUCGAUACUGACGCUGAGGUGCGAAAGCGUGGGGAGCGAACAGG